GGCGGUUGCCGUUGGGGGUGACCCGUUGGGGUCUGGUGGAGGUGCCGGUCCUUUGGGCCGGUGACUCUGGACGCGAGCCUAGCAGGGGUUAACUGGAGGAAGUCUCCGCCGGGUGACUGGUGGCCCGCAGCUAGGAGACGUGGCGCUUUGAUAAGCUUCCCUGAGGAGAGGCCCAUAUGCUAAGAAAAUAAGGGUGGCCUCCUACCAGCAGCCAGCAAGAAAGCAACACCCUCAGUCUGACAACCCAGAAAGAACUGAAUCCUGCCAACCACCAUGUAAAGCUGAAGCAGUGGCAACUAUUUUGCAUGGGUUUCACACGUGAGCACGGUCACAGAAGGAAUUUGUUCAGAGGCCAACUUCUGUCUUCUGAAAUAUUUUCUUCCUUCUCUCUAAAGAACAGUAUCGAGAAAUCUGGUGAUUUUUAACAGUCUUCCAGUUUGGACAGAAGCAGUCUGAGGGAGUAGAUUUUUCAGUGUUCCUCCAAGCUCAUGUACCAGUUGCACGGCUUCAGUGGAGGGCAGUGUAGGGUCCUAGUGGACAGCCUAGCCUGGGUCUGGAGUUGGACAGAGCAAGUCUGAAUCCUGUCCUCAUCACUUUGUAGCUGUGUGUCGGGCAGUAAGGCAGGGCAACUGAAGGAGCGAAGACUGGUGAUGACAGCAAGGGAAGGAGGAACUGAUUUCAGAGAGAUGCUUGGAGAUAAAGGAACCAAUAACCAGACCUUGAAUAUGCAUAGCUCUUUACCCUUUUCAAAGUGUGUUCCCAUAAUUAACUUGUUCAAUCCUCUUGACAACUCUGUGAAGUACAUGGGGUACAUGCUAUGCCCAAUUAAAGAAAGAUGAAUUGUCACAGACACAUCAGGUCAUUUGCUCUCAGUCCAACAGUACCUGGUCAGCAGGGUCAUGAUCAAACCCACACCUCCUGAAUGCAGGUGUUUUUCCAGGACACCAUCUGUGUCUCUUACUUAGCUCCUCUACCUGGUAGCUGUUCUCUACCUGCUUCUUAACUAGUGAGGGGAAGUUCUAGAGAACCUCCUGGUGUAGAAUGCAAGAGCCGGGAGUGUCUUUUUGCCUCUCCUA
rnacentral:lncRNA from 1 species